rnacentral:tRNA from 1 species
AAGAGAUUAAAAAUUUAGCUUCUAACUAAAAAUAUAGCAAUUCAAUGUUUGUCUCUUU